rnacentral:rRNA from 1 species
CGGGUGGUAAUGCCGGAUGCUCCAGUCCAUCGCAUGGUGGUCUGGGAAAGAUUCUAUCGGUAUGGGAUGGGGUCGCGUCCUAUCAGCUUGAUGGCGGGGUAACGGCCCACCAUGGCCUCGACGGGUAGCCGGCCUGAGAGGGCGACCGGCCACAUUGGGACUGAGAUACGGCCCAGACUCCUACGGGAGGCAGCAGUGGGGAAUAUUGCACAAUGGGCGCAAGCCUGAUGCAGCGACGCCGCGUGCGGGAUGGAGGCCUUCGGGUUGUAAACCGCUUUUGAUCGGGAGCAAGCCCUUCGGGGUGAGUGUACCCUUCGAAUAAGCACCGGCUAACUACGUGCCAGCAGCCGCGGUAAUACGUAGGGUGCAAGCGUUAUCCGGAAUUAUUGGGCGUAAAGGGCUCGUAGGCGGUUCGUCGCGUCCGGUGUGAAAGCCCAUCGCUUAACGGUGGGUCUGCGCCGGGUACGGGCGGGCUGGAGUGCGGUAGGGGAGACUGGAAUUCCCGGUGUAACGGUGGAAUGUGUAGAUAUC